UGAGGAAUAUUGGUCAAUGGGCGCGAGCCUGAACCAGCCAAGUAGCGUGAAGGAUGAAGGUCCUAUGGAUUGUAAACUUCUUUUAUAGCAGAAUAAAGUGACCCACAUGUGGGUUUUUGUAUGUAUGCUAUGAAUAAGGAUCGGCUAACUCCGUGCCAGCAGCCGCGGUAAUACGGAGGAUCCGAGCGUUAUCCGGAUUUAUUGGGUUUAAAGGGUGCGUAGGCGGAAAGAUAAGUCAGCCUGUGAAAGUUUGCGGCUCAACCGUAAAAUUGCAGUUGAUACUGUUUUUCUUGAGUGUACAUAAGGUAGGCGGAAUUCGUGGUGUAGCGGUGAAAUGCUUAGAUAUCACGAAGAACUCCGAUUGCGAAGGCAGCUUACCGGGGUACAACUGACGCUGAUGCACGAAAGUGUGGGUAUCAAACA
rnacentral:rRNA from 1 species